AUUGAACGCUGGCGGCAUGCUUUACACAUGCAAGUCGAACGGCAGCGCGGGCUUCGUCCUGGCGGCGAGUGGCGAACGGGUGAGUAAUACAUCCGAAAGUGCCCAGCAGUGGGGGCUAGCUUGGCGAAAGCCGGCUUCAUACCGCAUACGACCUGACGGGGAAAGCCGGGGACCUUCCGACCUCGGGCCUUUGGAGCGGCCGAUGCCGGCUUAGCUAGUUGGUGGGGGUAAGGCCUACCAAGGCGACGAACGGUAGCUGGAGGGAGAGGACGACCAGCCGCACGAGGACGGGGACACGGACCAGGCGCCUACGGGAGGCAGCAGUGGGGAAUGGUGGACAAUGGGCGAGAGCCUGAUACAGCAAUGGCGCGUGUGUGAUGAAGGCGUUCGGGUUGUAAAGAACGCCUGGGGGGAGUGAAAAGGACUGUGCAAAUACGACGGGUCGAUGACGGUACCCGCAGAAUAAGCACCGGCUAACUACGUG
rnacentral:rRNA from 1 species